rnacentral:rRNA from 1 species
AUUGAACGCUGGCGGCAGGCCUAACACAUGCAAGUCGAGCGGAGCGGCGGACGGGUGCGUAAUGCCUAGGCAUCUGCCUGGUAGUGGGGGAUAACGUCCGGAAACGGGCGCUAAUCCCGCAUACUAUCAGAUGAGCCUAGGUCGGAUUAGGUAGUUGGUGUGGUAAAGGCCUACCAAGGCGACGAUCCGAAACUGGUCUGAGAGGAUGAUCAGUCACACUGGAACUGAGACACGGUCCAGACUCCUACGGGAGGCAGCAGUGGGGAAUAUUGGGCAAUGGGCGAAAGCCUGAUCCAGCCAUGCCGCGUGUGUGAUGAAGGUCUUCGGAUUGUAAAGCACUGUAAGUUGGGAGGCGGUACCAACAGAAUAAGCACCGGCUAACUUCGUGCCAGCAGCCGCGGUAAUAC